rnacentral:rRNA from 1 species
CUAUGCGCCUUGCCAGCCGCUCAGUCAGAGUUUGAUCCUGGCUCAGAACGAACGCUGGCGGCAGGCUUAACACAUGCAAGUCGAGCGCACUCUUUUAGAGUGAGCGGCAAACGGGUGAGUAACGCGUGGGAAUCUACCCCUCUCUACGGAAUAACACAGAGAAAUUUGUGCUAAUACCGUAUACGUCCCUUUUGGGAGAAAGAUUUAUCGGAGAUGGAUGAGCCCGCGUUGGAUUAGCUAGUUGGUGAGGUAACGGCCCACCAAGGCGACGAUCCAUAGCUGGUCUGAGAGGAUGAUCAGCCACACUGGGACUGAGACACGGCCCAG